AAUAGAUUGAGAAGGAGCUUCAGUUCGAGAAGUUUUUGCCUUAAGCUUCUUCGACAAUAACUCCAGUUGAUCCAAAUUCCUCUUAUUUCCCACCAAGAAAUCAUUAAAACAUCAAAAUAAUUCACUUCGACAAUUUUUACAAAAGGAGAAAAUGAUAAUAAACCAUGACAUUCAUUUAACGUUAAAAAUGAUAAAAAGGUAAAUUAGAUAAUGGCAAUUUGCUGUAUUCUUUUACAAUAACUCCUAUUGAGAAGGAGCUUCGGUUCUUAGAGUUUUCGCCUUCAGUUCAUUGAAAAGGAAUAUCAUCAAUCCAAAUUCCUCUAAUUUCCGACCCUCGAACAAACCGAACUUCGACAUUGCUAGUUCCAUGGCAAAUAACGGAAAAGCAAAUUAAAAAAAUGGUAAUUUGCUUCAGAAAUUACAAUUUUUUCUUGUUUCAUUUCUUCAAUUGGUACCUGAAGAGGAGGGAACUGAGCAGCAGGAUUGGCUUGUUUGAGAAGCUUCAAAGAGGAAUGCAGAAGAUCCGACCAUCCACUCAUUUCUGAAUCAUUCGCCAUUCUUCCACCCGUUUUACAAUCGUACGAAAGCAAGGGUAUGUAUGCAUCGAUCGUAGAGAAAGAAAGAAGAGAAUGAUGGUUUAGUGUUAUGGAGCUAAAAACCCCUAAUUUGAAUGUGAUCAGUAUCACCUCGGAAGGCAAUAUCAGAUUUAUUGAUUCGGAAUUGUAUUAAAUUCGAGCAAUGGAAGAUGAUGAGAGGGAUAGAUUGAGGUUUUCUGAAGGAAGAAAUGAUUGAGAUAGUGAUUCUGAGGGUUAUUUGGAACACCUAGUUGAUGAUGAACUUUGCUAUUCCUCUGGGGACUUCCCCAAGUUGCAAUUCAGGAAAGAUGUGUCAGAGGCACGGUGGAUUGAAGAGUUGGGAAUGGCCAAGGUGUUGGAGAGAAAGGGUAAAAUGUGGACCACAACUGGGAUAAUUCGUGAUGGCAAAAUAUACUGCUCUAUCGAAGAGACUUUGUAGAUUACGCAACUUCGCUGUCAUUAUUACCGGCACUAUCGUAUUUAAACAUUUUGUGCAUCUCCUUCUCUCUCUCUCUCUUUGCAAAUGUGUUCAUGAAACUCCCCCAUCUUUGAGAAUUUCCAAUGGUCGAAAUCGCUAUUACCAUAAAGCUCCCAUCUUGGCUAAUUUCGGAGAUUAUGGUUUCUGGCAGAAAUUGGAGCUUUGCAUAUCUUGAAUGGUGAUGAUACAUACCUUACCUUAAAAGACUUCAAUGAAAAAGUCGCAAAAGAUAGAGGUGGAUAUGGAUGUUCUUGGGAGUCUUUUGAAGUUUAUCGCCACUUAAAAUCUCUUGGUUAUAUCGUUGGCCGACAUGGUAUUCCUUGGACUUACAAGAGUACUAAAACUAAUUCCAUUGCUGAAAAUGGUGCGUCUGAACUUGACGGGACAAGUUGUAACAGGUCAAGACGCGGCAUUCUCAUUACUGAAAUGUUCGAUAACUUGCAGUUUAGUGAAGUGAGACCAAUGUUCGAUGUUUACUUGCCUAACAGCAAGUUUAAGAAGUCUUCUCCCGGCAGUCCAUGUUUCCUCCUCUGCCUUUCCAGACAUUGUUUCUAAUGUAGUGACCACCCACCAUCCAAACAAGCGAUCGAGGACCUCGAAACACGUUACAAAGGCCAUCGUAUAAAAUUUUGUAAUGUCGAGCAUGGGCGAGUUAGUUUCUUUUCAUUCACCAAAGUCGAACUUCCCAUCCUUCCAUGACCGUCCUCCCAUAGGCUCAAGAAACAACUGAUUCUUCUAUGAAAAGUUUGUGCAUGUUUGGAGUCCCAUUGUAUGAUACAACAUGAUGAAGGGAGACACUUCUUCCAAUAAUACUUUUUGUUGAACUUAAGAAUUUUCUUUAAGUUAUUUAAAAGGGACCUUUUUUUGACAAAUAUAUUUGGCAAAUUGCUUUUUCUCUCUCAUUGUUAAGCAAACCAUUAUUUUUUUAAAAAGUAAUUAUUACAUUUGUA